UCCUGGCCGUAAACGAUGGACACUAGGCAGUAGGGGAUUAAAUGCCCUUUCUGCCGCAGCGAAAGCAUUAAGUGUCCCGCCUGGGGAGUACGGCCGCAAGGCUGAAACUCAAGGUAAUUGACGGGGGCCCACACAAGCGGUGGAGCGUGUUGCUUAAUACGAAGCUAAGCGUAGAACCUUACCAGGGCUUGACAUGCAGGUGGUAGUGACCCCGAAAGGGAAGCGACCCUCCA
rnacentral:rRNA from 1 species